AGAAUACCGCCUUUGAUUCAUGAGUUUCGAAACAUGAGCGCGAGACACCGAGUGAGGUGAAAUUGGGACAAGGGGAGAUAGAAGUAUUAGUGUGUGCGCGCACGUGUCUGGGAAGGGAGACGUGGUGUAGGCUGCUGCUUUGUGCUGGUAUUUGGCAACAGGCAUGGGCCAAAGACAAGUGGCACAGCAUUUGUGUGAGAAGACCCACAGCAUGCAACAUCAUCCAUGAUGUUUACUUCAUGAAUACUUGGUCCUCUGUUCAUAGCAAAACGAACUGUCAUAGCAAAACGAACUGAAGACUGGAAGAGAAUUAAGGAAUUGAACAGUCGCUGGGACAUUCCUAAAUGUUUGGGUCACAGAAAAAGAAAGGGAAAUCUGGCAGACGCAUCAUCCCAUUUCACUGAACAAUUGACCUGAUCUUCACUAACCUGAAGACUAUAAUCACUUGACUAACUACAAUUUCAGUGAUUUGUGCAAGAAACCAGGAGUCUGAAUCAUUGUACUAUGCUGGUGAAUGGGAGGAUGCAAGAGAUUGUGGACUGCAUGUGCACUGCUGAGGAUGGAACGACUCGCCUUAUCUUGGACCAUAACGUGUUGGAGUGGAAGUUGUAUGGGAGAGGAAAAGAAUGUGAAGGCUAAAAGGAGUGUAAGUUAAAUGUAGAAUGGGAGAAUUUCCAGCAACUUGAGGGAGUUGCUGGAAAGAUGAAACCUUGAAUGGGGUGAAUGGAGUGUUGAAAAUGUGAGGAAUGCAGCAGCCAGCCAGCCAGAUACGGUAUGUAAGAAAUGCUAGGAGGUAUGCAUGUAUGGCUUAUUAGUACAAUGAUAAAAUUAAGGAUGUUGCGAUGGAGAAAAAGAAAAUAAGUAGAAUAUGCAGCCAUUUGAGGAAGGGCAGCUACAAGUGUGUGGGGUUUUUAAGGGAGUACCAGAAUACAUGGACAUGUGAUAGUAGUGAAAUGUGUGGGACAGUGAAUUGAAGAAUAAUAUAGAACAAAAGAGUAGUUUGGAGUGGUGUGACGAGAAAGAUGCCCUAAUAUGUAAAAGGUGGUAAGGGAAGCUUGUGAUGAUUUCUUUCAAAUGAGGGCACAGUGUAUGGGUGUGAAUGCAAGGAGUUACAGAUGGUAAAGUCCUGCAGCAAAGUGUGCCAUACGCAUGAUAUGGAAGAGGAUGAGAGAGCGAUGGAUUGUGUGAAGUAUGUCACAUAAGAUGAUUUAAGUAGUGCUGGAGAAAUUGGGAAAUUUCAGAGCAAAGACAGGAAUGUUAUGGUGUUGCUGCUGGGACUGUGUGGGGAGAUGAAUGAAAUGAUGGUAGAAGCCAUGGAGGAGUCUGAGAGUGUAGUAUGGGACUGUGUAGGGAGAUGAAUGAAAGGAUGGUAGAAGCUGUGAAGGAGUCUGGAGAGUGUAGCAUGGGACUGUGUAGGGAGAUGAAUGAAAGGAUGGUAGAAGCUGUGAAGGAGUCUGGAGAGUGUAGCAUACUAGAUGUAGGAAUUAUUAGAGUUGCUGAUACAAAGAUCUAGUAGAACAUCCACUUCACCUGCAGCAGUCUUGUCCUUCCACAGAGGAUCCACUGGGCAAGGCUGGGGCGUUGUUCCUGAAAUAAGACAGGGCAUUACUAGGUUGCCUUAAAGGGAAUCCUGGACUUACUCCAGAUGGCAUCAGCAAAGCCAGCAACCAUUGCUGUUACUGCUGCUGCUGCUACGACGACCUUCAUCCGGAAAUGGAUCUGAGAGAUAAAUACUUUGUCAGACAGACCUGUGUAUCUAGUGUGUGAGACUUGUGGACUAGUAGUGUUGCUGGUAACAAGCUGCAAGAGUUUAAAGUCAAAAGACUCCCGAUCAUAUUGUUUUUCUUUUUUUUUUUAAUAAUUUUUCCCAACUGGAUGUGUUGUAGUUGUUCUCCGGAGCCUGUUUGAAGUAUUGUAAAAACUCGCUUGACUGUCAGAGCUAUGUUAAUAAAUGAAUGACCUUUGA